rnacentral:rRNA from 1 species
GUGAGUAACGCGUAUCCAACCUUCCGUUUACUCAGGGAUAGCCUUUCGAAAGAAAGAUUAAUACCUGAUAGUAUGGUAAGAUUGCAUGAUAAUACCAUUAAAGAUUCAUCGGUAAACGAUGGGGAUGCGUUCCAUUAGGUAGUAGGCGGGGUAACGGCCCACCUAGCCGACGAUGGAUAGGGGUUCUGAGAGGAAGGUCCCCCACAUUGGAACUGAGAC